UUCAAGGUUCCUUUCGGUACCACACACAUAAAAUCAAUAAUAGUCU
rfam:Zootermopsis nevadensis contig7030, whole genome shotgun sequence.